AAAUAAUGAAGCAAAAUAUUGCAUUUAGUUUCGACCUAAAAAUUUGAUUUAAUAAUCCUU
rnacentral:tRNA from 1 species